UGGUGGAGUGAUUUGUCUGCCUAAUCGCGAUAACGAACGAGACCUUGACCACUAAAUAGCCCGUACUGCCUCGGCAGCUCGCCGGCUUCUUAGUGGGACUAUCGGCUCAAGCCGAUGGAAGUUCGAGGCAAUAACA
rnacentral:rRNA from 1 species